rnacentral:lncRNA from 1 species
GUUUUUUAAAUCUAAUCAGUUAUACCUGGCAGCAGAUGCAUUUCACGUAGUGCACACAUAGAGCACGACUUUUCAUGUCUCUGGCUGUGCACAGAAGGUCUGCUUGUUAUCUGAACAGGUGCGUUCCCUUUGUGAAAGGCCAGAGAUGUGCCCUUUCCAGGUGGGACACUUCACACUACGUGCUCCCUUCACCAGGGCCAUCCAGAAUUCUUCCUGUUCUCUCCACCCCAAAGGGGUCACCAAAGUUCGGUGGAUGCCAGUUUAAACUACCUGUGGCUUCCAAGCUUGCCAUUUGAUGACAGCAGCACGUCCUGUCCUUAACUAGGGUAGCCACUACUUCUUGGCUGAGCUUUGGAUGUAGUUGCCCCCAAACCAUCUUCCAGGCUGGGCGUGGUGUUGCACGCCUGUAAUCCCAGGGGCUCUGGAGGAGGAUCCAAAGUCCAAAGCCAGCCUCAGCAGUUUAGCAAAGUAAUUAAUUUAGCGAGACCCCGUUUCAAAAUUAAAAAGAAAAAAAAUGUUUUAAAGGAAUAGGAAUGUGGUUCCGUGGUUAAGCGCUCCUGGGUUCAUCCCUGGUACAUCAUCAUCACCUUCAUCAUCAUCUCUUCUUCUUCCUCCUUCUCCUCCUCCUUUAAACCAGAUAAUUUCAAAGUAAAGAGGUGAUGGUCUUGGUAGCACAGGUCUGUGGUCCCAGCUACCAAAGAACUUGAGGCUGGAGGAUCACAAGUGUGAGCCAGCCUGGGCAACUAAGUGAGCACUCUUUCAAAGCAUUAAAGCCAGUCUCUGUGGCAUAGGCUUGUAAUCUCAACCACUCCAGAGGCUGAGGCAGGAAAAUCAAAGGUUCCAGACCAGCCUCAGCAACUUAGUGACAAUCCCCAGUACCAAAACUAAAUCAAAUAAAAAGGACAAUGAAUCUCUGGCAUUAUGUAUAAUUAUAAUGCACCAAAAACAAACACAGGAAAAAACUGAAAACCAAUAAAAUAAAUAAAAGGGGCUGUGGAUGUAGCUCAGAGGUAGAGAGCCCAUUUUGUCCAGCUCUAAAUUAUGGGGAGGAAUUAGGCACAUGAAAAGGAGAGGCUGCUGUGCAGAGGACAGCGAAAAGUGUCACAACCCUGUCACCUUCAGAUGACUCCUUCAGGGGCUGAAACCCCAUUUUCUCAUAGUAAAUGAUGCUUCAUAAGAUAAGUAAUGAGUUUUUUUGAGGGAGGGGGGUGCUGAAUUAGGGAAUGGAACCCAGCACCUAGCACAAGCUGGGCAAGCAGUGUGCCACUGAGCUAUGGCAAAUAUUAAGGUUCUUCUAAAAGCAGAGCGUAGUGCUAGGCCCUGGGAAAUACAAAUCAUAGUACUAGUACUCACAAGGAAUGUUCUGGAACCCUCAAGUUCUUUCUAAUAUUCUAGCAUGAGCAGGAAUUACCAAUGCCUGGUGUUAUAGGGGGAGUGGGAGGUGUGAUUACAACUUGCCAUGGCUGGUGGACAACAAUAGCGCAGAGGAGGCCCAAGAAUCUUCGCUGGGCAGAGAUGGUGGGGGGGGCCAUACUUAGUCCUGUGACAGUAGGAAGCCA